AAAGGGCGCGUAGGUGGCGCGGGCAGUCAACGGUGAAAGUUCGGGGCUCAACCCUGAAUCGGCCGUCGAUACUCCCGUGCUUGAGCACUGUAGAGGCAGAUGGAAUUCCGGGUGUAGCGGUGGAAUGCGUAGAGAUCCGGAAGAACACCGGUGGCGAAGGCGGUCUGCUGGGCAGUAGCUGACACUGAGGCGCGACAGCGUGGGGAGCAAACAGGAUUAGAUACCCCGGU
rnacentral:rRNA from 1 species